UGCAACAAAACGCCAGAUCAAGUUAUAAAACAUCUGGCUGACCGCAUGACCAACCAUUGUAAUAACCACAAACAACAUUCCGGUUUCAAAUUUGGUACAUGCAAGGAUGUGAAGACAAAAUGAUUGCAAUUGUUAGCUUUUUUUACGUUUUCAUAUAACUCAGAAGAAAUAAGUAGAAGUAAUAGGACAUGCUGCAUGUGUAUUUAUGAAGGUGAAGUCCGCUCCUCUAGGUUGCGUGAAAGGGCUGGGAACGGGGUGGUUGGAGAGAGGAGCGUCUGACUGGGAAAUAGGUCUUUGACUCAGUGGAUGUUGUCAGAUUUAUUAAGGCAGAUCUUAACUAGUUCAAAUAAAUUUAAGGAGUUUCAAAACUGGUGAGAUUUUUACCCUUGAGCAAAAUGUUUCAUGCCAGGUGCCUUAUAGCCAACCCUUUUUAUUGUUGACAACCACAGGACGAACAGGAUUAAACACAAAGUUGCAGUUAAUAUAUAUGAUGAAGGUUGGACUUACUUGAGAAGCAAUUAAAUCCUAGUUUUUGUAAGCAGGGAAUCUGAGAUUAAGAUUUGUUUUUCUCAACAGCAGUGUGACUCUUCUACAACUUCAGUGCACAUUUGCCUCAGUGGUGUCCUUCCAGAAUAAAAUGCACAACUCUAAUGACUCAAUAUAAUUACAAUUAUUAUUUAAAUCCUUCAGAACAGGCUGUCCUCAAGGAGGGCGUUGAAAAAUUCAAGAUGGCAGCCACAUCUGUAAGAUCAAAGCCUGUCCCUUUUUAAAUGCAUGUUGUGCCUGCACACAUAGAAGGAAUUUUUUUUUAAAGUCCUGUUGAGGGCAAUUCCUGGCUCAGAAACUGAGCUUAAAAAGAAGCUAAAAUAGAUUGAGAUCAAUAGAUGAAAUAAUAUGAAGUUGUGCGUGAAGGCGUGUAAUGAAAGCAAUAGCUAAAAUACAGGAAAUCUCAUCUUUGCCUUCCCACAUUUGGUGUUUCAGACUUACUACUCUGAGAUAGCGGUGGACCUGUUUGAGGCAGUAAAUCAAGUUGCCCAAAAUCAUGAGCAGCAAUAGUAUAUAUUUUCCACCAGUUUUUGUUGGAAUGCCACAGAAAAUAGAUGCAUUCAAACUGUGAUAAGCUUGAUAUAUCUCUAAAUUUCCCUUCAAAAAAAACAUCCAAAACAAAAAAAGGAAAAAAGAAGAAAAAAGAUGGAGAUAGAUUUGGGUCAUCACCUGCCAUUUAGGUUCUUGGCAGCUAAAUAAACAAUUUCAAUCAUUGUGGAGCCCAUCUGCCAAAAGUUGCCUGCUUUACAAUUAAAUUAAAUUGUUAGUGAGUGGGAAGAGAGAAAUUAACACCAAGCUGUACAUUUUCAGCAUCAGAGUGAUGUUUUUGAUAAUACAUAGUUCUGCCUUGUGUAAUGCCACAUAAAUGGUUCCGCCUGUUUCUGAUAAUUGUGACAGACGUGUGUAUCAGCUAUACAUCUGGGAUUGGUCUGUUACACCAAAUAUUCCUAAUCUGUGCCAUAUGGAGCCUGGAGAGUGAUCGUCAGCUCUGAAUUUGCCAUGAAUUUCAGGGCACCUUCCUUCGGAGUAAAUAUAACAUGGGCUAUCUGAGGCACUACCUCUCCCCGUUACCUCAGCCUGCCCCGAUAGACUUUGCAGAGGUACCACCAGCAUUUGGGGGGGCCAGGAGACACGCCUUCCUUGCUGUGGGGCCCAUUUUAUGGAAUAUUAUCACACACACCAAAUUAGAUUCGCUCCAUCCCUUUUGGCAUUUUGGAAAUCCCUCAAGACCUUUUCAUUUAUGUAACCUAUUAAAAAUGCAAAAGUUUCUGAAAGUUCUUUACCGGGAAGUCAACUUUGUCUCAAACUGUUUUGCAUUUCAUAUUUUUUUCUCUGCAGUUGAGAUUGCAGAUUUCAAGAUGUCACCUAUUAGGAAGAAGGUAAACUCAAGAGUCUCCUGUCUUUCUCCACAAGAUCCUUCUCCACAUUGCCAAGAUUCAUCAGAACAGGAGACGCUUCGCCAGACUCACGUUCUUAAAAGAUGGGCCAUUAGAGCAAAUGCUGGUCGGAUCAGAGGUCAGAAAGUAUCCCUAGAUAAGUGUUGGAAUAACUCUGCUUUGCAGCGCCCGUUGUAAUUUCUUAGUAGAAAAAUACAUCAAAUGCAAAUUUAUCCUGGGAAUCUAAACAAGUGCAACAAGUGUCCUGUAGAAGCCUGAUAACAUAAAAAAACAGAUUUAUGAAUGUAUUUAUAUCCCACCUUUAUUAUUUUUACAAAUAACUCACAUUGUGGUUUCUAUCCGAUACCUGUGCUAGUAUCUGCUUUUCAAGAUUGGAAUCUCUCUUCUGUUGGCCCAAGAACUGUUCAGAUCCCCUUCACCUGCUGAUUAUAAUACUUCAAUUUCAAGGUUCUCUUAAGAGUGAACUCAUUAAAGUCCAAGGCUGAAGUGCAGAGAGUCUCUGUCCAGACAGUUCUGGGGUGGCAGAGAGGACCAGCCCCUGCCAGCAGUUCUUUGCUACUCUGGAGAGUUUGUGUUUUUGUCUUGCAGAUGCCGAGGAAACAACACUGCGAGUGGACGAGCAGCGGCUGCCUGCGAUUUAGACUGUCCUUUGGGGUGAGGUAGUAGGUUGUAUAGUUUUAGGGUGAGACCCUGCCUGUCAGAUAACUAUACAAUCUACUGUCUUUCCUGAAGUGGCUGUGAUAGCAACACCGGAGCAUCGUCCCGCCUUUCCAGAAGCCUCGUCAUUUUUGGUGCAUGAUGUGUUUUGAGUAUGAGAAAUUCAAGCCAGGUUACAGUCCAAGAGCCUGUUUCUUACAACAAACCCACUCUUUUAGCUAUAAUAUAUAUAUUGCAACUCGUGAUUACAAAGGAAGCCCAAAAGGACAUGACCAAGUCAUGUGAGUCAAAAUAUCCUCCGAUUUCUCAGGACCUGAUCUGCCAUGCAAGGAGGAGCCAGACCCAGCAUGAAGGAUGAAGGUCAGCUGAAGCGUCACCCGGCUUUCCAGCAGGGUGAGGUAGUAGGUUGUGUGGUUUCAGGGUAGUAAUUUUGCCCCAAUCAGGAGUUAACUAUACAACCUACUGCCUUCCUUGAGGAACAGCUUUGCAGCCUCUCUGAACACUGAGCAGUACAAGCCUACAUCGGUUUGAUGCUACGUUCACAUUCCUGCUUUAUGCAAAACAAAACAAACAAGGACUGGGAAGAAGCUGAGAAUUUCCUAGCAGAAAAGGAGAAUUACAACUUUUCAUCCCGUUCAGACACCUUCUUCAAGUUUUCACUAUUUCAGGACAAAUGUAUACGUGAGUAUUAAAUCAUUCUCUUUGUCAGAGCCUUUGUAUCAAUAAAUCCCACUGUGUUUGCCAGUCAAGGCAUGUUUCUAGAAAGACUCUAAAUUAUCUCAACACUGGAAUAAAAGGUUUUGUGUUUUCAA